GCGACAUAAAGAUUAAUGAAAUAGAGUUGGGAGUCCAGAAAUAAACCCUAAUGCUUAUGAUCAGUUGAUUUUUGACAAGAGCGCUGACAUAGUUUAAUAGGGAAAGACUAGUCUUUUCAACAAAUGGUACUGGGACAACUGUGUAUCCAUUAGCAAAAGAAUAAAAUUGGGCCAUUAACCAGGCUUUAAAAUUGAUGCCAAAUGGACUUUAGACCUAAAUGUAAGAACUAAAAACUAUAGAACUUGGAAGAAAAUGUAAGAGUCAAUCUUCAUGUCCUUGGGUUAAGCAGAGCCUUCUGAGAAAACAUCACAAGCACAAGUGACAAAAGAAAAAAAUAGAUAAAUUGGACUUCAUCAAUAUUGAAAACCUCUGCUUCAAAAGACACCAUCAAGACAGUGAAAUGCCGGCCCACCAACUGGGAGAAAAUAUUUGCAGAUCAUAUUUCUGUUCUUGGGGCUGGAGAUCCAAGGUGAAGGUGUCAGCAGAUUUACUUUAUUCUGAGAUCUCCUUGGCUUGCAGAUGAUCACCUUUCUGCUGGUAUCCCUGCAUUAGCCUGAUUGGAUAUAUGUAAAGAGAAAAAUUAGUACUUCUGGAUCAUCAGGUAAGCAAAUGGGACUUUGUUUUAAUUUCUCCAUUGAUUCAGUCCUCUGUCAGUAUGUGGCCA
rnacentral:lncRNA from 1 species